rnacentral:rRNA from 1 species
GAUGAACGCUGGCGGCGUGCCUAAUACAUGCAAGUCGAACGCAUAGCGAAAGGUGCUUGCACCUUUCAAGUGAGUGGCGAACGGGUGAGUAACACGUGGACAACCUGCCUCAAGGCUGGGGAUAACAUUUGGAAACAGAUGCUAAUACCGAAUAAAACUUAGUGUCGCAUGACACAAAGUUAAAAGGCGCUUCGGCGUCACCUAGAGAUGGAUCCGCGGUGCAUUAGUUAGUUGGUGGGGUAAAGGCCUACCAAGACAAUGAUGCAUAGCCGAGUUGAGAGACUGAUCGGCCACAUUGGGAAUGAGACACGGCCCACACUCCUACGGGAGGCUGCAGUAGGGAAUCUUCCACAAUGGGCGAAAGCCUGAUGGAGCAACGCCGCGUGUGUGAUGAAGGCUUUCGGGUCGUAAAGCACUGUUGUAUGGGAAGAACAGCUAGAAUAGGAAAUGAUUUUAGUUUGACGGUACCAUACCAGAAAGGGACGGCUAAAUACGUG